CCACCUCUGGAGUAAGCAAGGCACAUGGCAGUAGCAGCCUACAACAACUGCAGAAAUCUUUCCAGCAGGACUGCAAACCUGCCCAACUGAAUUGAAAAUGUCAUUAUGAAAUGACUAUGGCAUAUGAACUCAAGAAAAGAAGAAAUAUGGAGAAGGGUUAAAACAAAGAUGACAGGAGACAGUGUAAAGAUCAGCUCCAAGUACAGCAGAGAUGCUGUUCCACUGUUUCCAGCUCUACCUACCACACCGUUUGGAAUCUUGUUUCCUGUUCAUGAAGUCACUGAGUGUCUCUCUAUCUGACUCAAUCCAUCUACAGUCUGCUAGGUGACAAGCAGAAAGAUCUGGAUAAACUAUUUAUACUGGGAUAGACAUGUUAUUGGUUCUCAGAGAGGGGAACAAGAAACAGUUGCUGUAUCCUUGGAAGAAGCCCCAACAGAGCAAAGAAUGAAGAGCUUCAAGAGAAAGUAUUAGCGCCCUCUGCAAAACAACACCUGGAAGAGGUACCACAUUACAGACACCAUCAUCAGAGUCACUCUCAAUACGCUGCCAAGGAUGUCAACUCCCAAUGUUCCCAAGAAGGUAACACUUGAGAUGCCAAAACAACACAGUAGUGAAAACAAAAGCAGGAGACAAGGAAGUCUAGAUGGACUUAGUGGGUAACAGGAAUUUUGGAGGUAAAUGUAUUUAUCCUGUACUCAACCCCAAGAGCACUUAAAGCCCAGUCUGAGGAUGAAGUCUUCUGUGCCUCUAUUGAAAAAGGUCCACAUCCAUAUCAGUGCUUGCACCAUAGCUUUGCAAUGGCUUGACCAGAAUCCAGCAUGAAUAAAUAAGAGUUUCCUGGAGGGGGGACUCAAGAUGGCGCUGUGAGAACAACCCAGGAUUGGAGCUCUUCUCGUUGAAUCCGCAAACGAGUUCUAGUGCUACCUAAGAGUCACACACUGAAGGCUGGGACAUCAUUGCCUUUGAAGGUCACCAUUGAAAUAUAUGUGUCCAAUUCAGAAACGGGCCGCCAAAAACUACACAUUCAAGACCAAGUGCUUCUCUUCCAGAAUCAUAGCACACCAGGAGUCAACACUGCAGGUAGUGCACAGCAAAGAGAAUGAGCUACAGGCAACCCCGUUAGACUCAAGAUUCAUAGCCCAUUUCCACACAUUCCCUUUGCAUCAUAGUUUGCUGCCUUAUACUUUUAAAGGUAAUUUUUCUUGAUAAGGAAUAUCUGUUACCUUCAUACUCCGUGGAAGUAAGCAAAGAAUUGUUGUGACCCUAGAGAAAAAUCAGAGUCACAGAAUUUUAGGUCUGGAAGGGAUCUUUUAAGUCAUAUAGAAUUAUCAUUUUAGAAGCAAGAAUACAGAGGUUCUGAGACAUUAAGGGAUAUGUCCAGGUUCAGCAAGUUACUAGUAGAAUCGAGACUUUUUAAAAAAUCAUUAUUCUCAGUGCAUUGCUCUUUCUACCACUUAAACAUACUUUAUCAAUAGCUGAUUGUUUCUGAAAUUUUAAAAUACUUCCUUUGCUAAGACUGAAAAAAAAAUCAUCUCUGUUUCCAAAGCUCAGAAGACUAAAUAUGCAGACUCAACCUCAUAUAUGUACCUCCUCCCUAUUUCUACAAUUAUCAA